UAACAGGCCUCCGGUGGAGGGCGGGGACCCUCGGAAGCCAGCUGGGUGGCGAUCGCUUGUCUGCCUUGGCAGGCCCCUUGUGCAGUCUUUUCCCGGCGUGAGCGUGCAGGGAUUGAAAAGGAAUGCUUUAUGGUUCAGCAGAGAGUCACCACGCAGGAUGUACUGGGACCUGUGAACCGUCGGGCAGUCCCACGAGCUCUUUCAUGACCAGCUCCAACCGACAAGUACACGCCCCUUCUCUCACUCCACUAGCUAGUAAGCUGAGCUACAAGGUGUGCCAGGCACCCAGGACGCCGAUUCACCGCUUCAGACUGAAUUUUUCCACCACCUGGAUGAACAUAGCAGAAAGAACAUAGUGUUUUAGAGUCAGACACAAUAGGAAUCAGGCACUUUGGAAUCUUGGCUCAGCCACCUUUGAGCUAUGUAUCCCAAGGCAAGUCACUUCCCCUCUCUCAGCUUUAAAAUAGUAAUAGGAUU
rnacentral:lncRNA from 1 species